GGUGAAAGGGGAAUGAUGUCAUUGCGUGCCUGAAGACGACGGGAAGAACAAACGAUGGUGUAGAUCAGCUGGAAGAGGAACACUGAAGGAUGGAUUUCAUUCCCUGAGGAACCGAGUUACAAAAGGAAUGAUGUAGCAGGUGAAGAAGGCAGUAGAAAGACUUGAAUCUCUGAAGAAAACAGUGACCAACAUUCAUGGCUCUGACCUUCAAGAAUCCCAGCGAAGGUUGAAAGACCUGCUCUCUGAAUAAGGCAUGAAAGAAAACGCUGAAAAAGCUGAUGAACUGAGAUGUGGAUGCAUCAGAGGAAUUCAAUAACAUGUGGGGCAAAGAGAGAUGACAGAGAGAAUCGAUACCCAUGGAAAAGAACCCCUUUUUUCCCCCUCAUGCUGCUCUCACCGCAUCCACGUGAGUGCUGAGCAGAAGGGUGGGGGGAGGCAUCACAAAUUAUGAGGAGGAAAAGGAAGCGUGCGUCAGGAAUGGCAAGCACAGCUCAACGCAAAACCAUCUUGUGGCAAGACUAGUGGCAAUCGGGAACGGAGACAAACCAGAUUCAUUCAUUAAAAUGCAGACCAUACCUCAGUACCUUUGGUCACCGUAUGGUCUUAUUUAGUUGGUGUUUUCACCUGGACAUGUGUGAGUUCUGGGUGGUGUGAUGAUGGACUUGGUGGAGCUGCCACUGGUUAUAACUGGACAUAACUGUUUCCUUCAGGUACUAACGUGACAAUAUUCAGUGUGAAAGGAGCUUUGGUGUUGAAAUAGAUGAGAAAUUAACUGAACAAAUAUUCUUUUGUUUACUGCUUUCAAGGCGUACACAGUGUAUGUAAUGAUUCUCAAUACUCUUCCCUGUUAUUGUCUACCCAACUUUUGUUAUUAAUGUAACAAGGUCACAGCUGUCUCUUUGGUACAUAGCUCAUCUUUGUCCUUUUUCUCUGAAGGUAAACGUUGUAAACUGUCUCGGCUUUUCUUCAUCUACCUUCUUCUAACCUAAGAUGAGUCAUCCUUCGUUGUCAAACAUGUGUUAAAAUUGUCCUCUAGCGCCAUCUACUGUUGGGUUAGCAGAAGAAACAGAAUAACGGGAACAACAAAGAAA